AUACCUUUCUCGGCCUUUUGGCUAAGAUCAAGUGUAGUAUCUGUUCUUAUCAGUUUAAUAUCUGAUAUGUGGGCCAUCGGCUCACACGAUAUUAACUCAAUUUUUUAAGGGGAAGGUCCAUUAGGGUAGCUUGCUAUCCGGUCCUUCGCGCGUCGCCUAGGCGUUACACUACAGCCCAGGCCUGGCGCACCCCUC
rnacentral:snRNA from 1 species